CAUGCGGGCGCAAAUCACGAUUCCCUUGUUUUUAACGUAAGCGAUUUGAAAGAGCAUCUGCAGAGAAACAUACAGAGUAAUUCCUGGAUUUUAGGCGACGCUGGUUACCCUCUACAAACUUUUUAAUGACUCCUUUCCGCAUGGCAGAAGCUGGUUCACCACAAGCUCGCUACAAUACAAUACACUCUAAGGCUCGAAAUAUUGUAGAACGUACGAUUGGAAUAUUGAAAAGCCGAUUUCGUUGUAUUUUAUCUGUGCGUGGCUUACAUUAUUCACCAGCAAAAUCUACACAAAUUGUGAACGCUUGCUGCGCUUUGCAUAAUAAUUGUCAACACUUUCGCGUGGAACUUUCUAAAGAAAUUGCAACCGCUUCAUGUACGGAACUAAGCAAUGAAAACCUAAACAUUGAAAGAGAAGACGAGGAAGCCACCAGAAGAAUUCGCAAUAAUAUUUUGUUAUCCAUUUAAUAGAAAUAAAAAACUCUAAUUCACAUUUAA